GUGAGGAAUAUUGGGCAAUGGGCGAAAGCCUGACCCAGCCACGCCGCGUGAGUGAUGAAGGCCUUAGGGUUGUAAAGCUCUUUUACCCGGGAUGAUAAUGACAGUACCGGGAGAAUAAGCUCCGGCUAACUCCGUGCCAGCAGCCGCGGUAAUACGGAGGGAGCUAGCGUUGUUCGGAAUCACUGGGCGUAAAGCGCACGUAGGCGGCUUUGUAAGUUAGAGGUGAAAGCCCGGGGCUCAACUCCGGAACUGCCUUUAAGACUGCAUCGCUUGAAUCUGGGAGAGGUGAGUGGAAUUCCGAGUGUAGAGGUGAAAUUCGUAGAUAUUCGGAAGAACACCAGUGGCGAAGGCGGCUCACUGGACCAGAAUUGACGCUGAGGUGCGAAAGCGUGGGGAGCAAACAGGAUUAGAAACCCCAGUAGUCC
rnacentral:rRNA from 1 species